CGAAAAAAAAGCCUGCAGCGAUUGCUGCAGGCAUCUUUAAUCGAACCAGUCGACUAAAGAUAAAGGGAGAGGAGAAACCGGAGGAAGAACUUAUGGGGAAACGUAAGUCUUCUCCGUUU
rfam:Pontibacillus halophilus JSM 076056 = DSM 19796 strain JSM 076056 contig4, whole genome shotgun sequence.